rnacentral:rRNA from 1 species
UACGUAGGGGGCCAGCGUUAUCCGGAAUUACUGGGCGUAAAGGGUGCGUAGGUGGUUUUUCAAGUCAGGAGUGAAAGGCUACGGCUCAACCGUAGUAAGCUCUUGAAACUGUAAAACUUGAGUGCAGGAGAGGAGAGUGGAAUUCCUAGUGUAGCGGUGAAAUGCGUAGAUAUUAGGAGGAACACCAGUUGCGAAGGCGGCUCUCUGGACUGUAACUGACACUGAGGCACGAAAGCGUGGGGAGCAAACAGG